UACAGAGGGUGCGAGCGUUGUCCGGAAUCACUGGGCGUAAAGCGCGCGUAGGCGGCUUCGCAAGUCGGCCGUGAAAUCUCCGGGCUCAACUCGGAGGGGUCGGGCGAGACUGCGCGGCUCGAGGUGGGCAGAGGGCAGUGGAAUUCCGGGUGUAGUGGUGGAAUGCGUAGAGAUCCGGAGGAACACCAGUGGCGAAGGCGGCUGCCUGGGCCUGGCCUGACGCUGAGGCGCGAAAGCGUGGGGAGCAAUCCGG
rnacentral:rRNA from 1 species